rnacentral:tRNA from 1 species
UCCCUGAUGGUUCAGUUAGUAAAGAAUCUGCCUGCAAUGCGGAAGACCUGGGUUCAAUUCCUGGCUUGGGAA